GGGGUGUGCUCGGAGCAAGGGGCCUGAAGAAUGGCUCCUCUAUUUACAACACACCCAACAGGAAUCUGGGGUCACUAUGAUGAGGGGCACAAAACUUGGUGCCUCCCUAUGAACAAAUUCCCUAUACCU
ensembl:snoRNA